GCCCCCGUAGCUCAGACGGUAGAGCGGCAGCUUGAAGAGCUGCGCGUCGCAGAUUCGAACCCUGCCGGGGGCACCA
rnacentral:tRNA from 1 species